AAAUGAUCUAAAGUUACAGAUUUUUAUACGACCGCAAAAUUUGAAAAAUUUUUCGUCGUAUAUUGCUAUCACGUUGGCGUCGUCGUCGUCGUCGUCCGAAUACUUUUAGUUUUCGCACUCUAACUUUAGUAAAAGUGAAUAGAAAUCAAUGAAAUUUUAACACAAGGUUUAUGACCACAAAAGGAAGGUUGGGAUUAAUUAUGGGAGUUUUGGUCCCAACAUUUUAGGAAUUAGGGGCCAAAAAGGGCCCAAAUAUGCAUUUUCUCGGUUUUCGCACUAUAACUUUAGUUUAAGUGAAUAGAAAUCUAUGAAAUUUUGACACAAGGUUUAUGACCACAAAAGGAAGGUUGGGAUUGAUUUUGGGAGUUUUGGUUCCAACAGUUUAGGAAUUAAGGGCCAAAAAAGGGCCCAAAUAAGCAUUAUUCUUGGUUUUCGCACAAUAACUUUAGUAUAAGUAAAUAGAAAUCAAUGAAAUUUUAACACAAGGUUUAUGACCACAAAAGGAAGGUUUGGAUUGAUUUUUAGAGUUGAGGUCACAACAGUUUAGGAAUUAGGG
rnacentral:lncRNA from 1 species